GACGUAGGUGGCGAACGUUAUCCGGAAUUAUUGGGCGUAAAGGGUGCGUAGAUGGCUUGACAAGUUAUCAGUGGUAAAAUCGAGGCUCAACCUCGUGGAAACUUGUAAUACUGUCCGGCUUGAGUGCAGGAGAGGUUAAUGGAACUCUAUGUGGAGCGGUAAAAUGCACAGAUAUAUAGAAGAACACCAAUAACGGCGAAGGCAAUUAACUAUUCUGUUACUGACAUUGAGGCACGAAAGCGUGGGGAGCAAAACGG
rnacentral:rRNA from 1 species